GGCUCUGCCCUUCUCCACUUCUCUCAGAGAUCAAGUCGUAUCUACUUCUCUUACUCUCCCUCUUCAAUUUGGGGCAAUGAAUUCAAUACUUGUAGUGGAUUGAAGAUUUCGUGGAUUGAAGAAUGAAGGUUCAAAUUCUAUUGAUCUGAUUGCGGUUAAAGGGGGGAUAGUUGCUACUGUGCUAUCCACAACCAUGGUAGCUCUCUCUCUCUCUCUCUCUCUCUCUCUCUCUCUCUCUCUCGACUGAAAGUUCUUCAAGUUUUCACUAAAUCUGUGGCAGUAAAGGGCUAAAGGCUUAAGCUUCUCUUGAGCUAGAGCUAGGAUUUGAUUCAAUUAGUGAAUACAUAGUUCUCUUCAAGAAUUUAGUUCAAAUUGAUUUGGUAAUCUGGAAAAGAAGCGUGUUUCUAAGAAAUGGUGAAACUGAAUACACAAGCUUAGUUGAAGAGAAAGAUUCGUGUUGCAGUUUUUGGUAUCUAUCUAAUGCUGAACUUAUUGCACAAUUUAAUGAAAGUGUUGACUGUAGGAUAUUGUACUACUAUUAUGCUUCCAGAAAUCAUUUUCACAAGAAUAAGGCUGAUAUGCU
rnacentral:lncRNA from 1 species